AAGCUUCAACAAUUAUAAAGAAUUUAUUACGUUUAGCCAAGUAAAAUAGAAAAAUGUAAAUUAAUAUUCCGAAAUGAUAGAUAAUUUUAAAAGUAUAGCGACAGGACUUUGUGUAAGCAAGAAACUCGUAUUCUUCCUACCUUAUACCACCAUAAUCGACGGCAAGAAAGAACCUGGCCUAUGGAUCUCUACUCGAUGGAGUCGCUUGCGUAGAAGCGACAGCCUGUCUCAGUUAAGACAAGAUUCAAAAGCACAAACAAAAAAUUGAAGGAAAGGGCUUCCAUCUCAACGUGCAACAGUAGCAUGCCGAGGGUUGGAGCAGGCUGCAGCAAUCAAUGCACACACGUGGAAAAGAGUGUGAUCCAGUUUAGAUCUCUGUGUUGGUUGUUCAUGGUUUUUUUUAUUACAGGGUUUCAUCAUAUGCAUUUGUGUUGGUUGUUAGCUUUCAUGGAAUAAGAGUCUUUGUCUUUUUUUUCCUUCUUUCAUGUCUUAUAUUUGCUUCAUCCAAUAAUAAAACCCAUCAACC
rnacentral:lncRNA from 1 species